AACAACCAAAAUGUUUUAUAUUGCCCCAUGAACAUGGAUAGAUAACCUAAUUAAACAGCUAGAACUAAUGAAAUCAAAUAAUCAAAUAAUCUACUUACAAUAGUCAAUAUCUAAUCAUACUAAUGAUUUAAAAUAAAAAUCGAUUAAAUUAAAUAUUAAACCAAAAGAAACAAUAAAAUCAAAAUAAAAAAUAAAAUAACUAAACAAAACAUAAUAUGGAUGCAAGUAUAAAUAUAAGAGUAUGAAUGUGAAUGGUAAGUUGGGCCUAGCCCACAAAACACUAAACCCAAUUAAAAUAAAAUAGGCAACUAAAUAUUAAAAAUAAAAAAUAAAAAAGCACUAAAAUAAUAUAAAAAAAACAUGAAAAGGAAAAGGAUGGAGCCAUCCUAAUUGCUGAGAGUGAAGCAGAACCUUAAUUUAAAAUUUUGACACCGCCUAUGUCACGCUGACAGUGGCAUGGUAAAAACACAAAAAGCAAACAAAAAGCCAAAUCCUUUUAGCUUUCUCUCACCAUGCAAUAACAAAAACAGGAAAAUGAAAGUCACGACGUGCUCUCUCGAUCUAUUGCUUUGCUACAGAAACGGA
rnacentral:lncRNA from 1 species